CCCCUCCCCUCUCCGCUCUCGCUCUCCGUGAUUUAUUACUUGCCCUGCUGCUUCUGACAAACUAUUUGUAGGAAAAUGAGAUUUGGUCCGCGCUGGAUGGCUCCUCUGGGAGGCAGGCGUGGGGGUCGGGUGUCGGAGGCCCCGUGCGCCCCCCCACCCCCCACCAGAGCCCACGGCGCUCACGGAGCUCUUUAAGAUAAAUGAGCAAAAUUAAGAGACUCACUGGGGGAAGAAAACACUGGAUGGGAGCGAGCGAGAGCGGAUGGUACUUGGUUUCCUCCCAGAAAUGCAUCCACGUGCGCCCCACUGGGGCCUCCCCCAUCUGCUGCAGACUCCAGGGAACUUCCUCCCCUCAAAGACGAACUUCCAGCCCUGGAGCAUGUUUCUUCCUUUCCUGGGAUGUGGCGCUGAAAAGGGCAGAAACCUCUAGUAAGGCACAAGCAACAGAUUGGGGGUGGAGCAGCAGGUCUCUUUGGAGGUGGCCUGGAAGAAACCGGACAGAGAGGAUGGGAAGGGGAGAAACAGAAGAGUGUGACGAGGUGGGUGUCCAAGGGCAAUGGGACAGGCAGUCCGGGUGGGAGAGUGGACCUGAGGAAGUAGCUGCAGGCCCAGACUACUUCAGCCACACCCUGAUCCCCUGGGACCCUCAGGGCACAGGAGGCAGUGCUGGCUCCAACCUCAGUCCAAGGAGCUGUGGAAGCCUCAGAGGUCCUUGGCAGAGAUGAGCCCUCAAUUCUCACCUCAAAGGCAGCGAUUGAAGUUUUCUCUUGUUUGGGUGGCAGAACUAUAAGUUGUCAGAGGGCAGGUAGUGGGUCUUUGGUUUUUCUGCAGUGCCACAGGGCUAGCUUACCUUAGAGGCCAUAAGUAUUAUUUGUUGAGAUGCAUGAAUACAAGAAUGUCUUAUAAGCUCUAGGCUCAAUUUUCAACUCCCACAGAUGUGCAAUGAAAACAAUUUUCCAGACUACUUUUUUUCCCUCUUAUUUUGAAAGCAAUACACUUAUUUUUUCCAUCAAACAUUAAGACAACAGAGAUAAGCAACAUAGAAGAAAAUAAUAAUCACCUGUUAUUCUACUACGAACAAUUUGGAAUUUAUCUUAAGUCUCAAAAUAUAUAUGUAUUAAAACACAAGGUCAUAUUGUAAACAUUGUUUUGACCUGCUUUAUUUCAUUCGAUGUUAAAUUGUAAAUACCUUUU
rnacentral:lncRNA from 1 species